UGAUCUUACCGUUAGAGGAAAGUCUUUGAGGAAGGUGGUAGAUCUUGGUCAAGCUGCUCCCUCCAAACGGAGAUCUGAUGAAGACUUUAGCUUAAAAAGUUCAAGGUCUCCCGCUGCAUCGAGAGCCAUCUCUAGUCAUCCUGAUCUUUAUCUGGCUGCUGGACCCAGAUGGCUCUGCUGGCGGAGAAGGGAGGCAGGUGACUUUGCCCAGCCCUCCCUCACUUAAAUCUAAUUCACCUGCAUGUCACAGCAUCACCUCUCUGAUGUCAUGGUCCUCUUCCAGAAUGAAAGACAAGCAACAACAACCCUUUUCAGAGAGAAAUUAUCACUGGAAAGCAGAUGCAACCAGAAACAGCCUAGAAUUUCUCAUGUCUCCACAAAAGGAUGCAUUAUAAAAGCCAUAAGAAUGGAAGAUAUCCCAGACUCCUCGGGCCAGCCAGAUGAUGAUACUACAAGCACAUGCAAUACAGUGGAAAGGCUGAGUUGGCUGAUGCAACUGCACAUUCAAUGAUGCUCACAAGAUGAAGAAACUGAGAAGACAGAUUAAGUGACUUGCCCAGAAUUACAUAGCUAAGAAGUGUUUGAGGACAGACUUGAUCUCAGAUUCAAAUUUAUCUAUCAUCCAUCCUCCUACACACAUAUCCCAAAAGUAAACUCGACACACUGAAGAAAGGGCAAUUUCAGAACUCUACCACGAUCUCAGAUAACCUUAGGAAACUUCACAGAAGUACCAUAAAAGGGAAAAAAAGAAUGUCUAUCAAAAUUUCCAGAACUCUUUUGUACAUACCGUGUACAACCUUGAGCCUACUUCCUCCUGGACUCUGUGAGUAUUUAUGGGAAAAUAUGUGCUUUGGAUAGAGACACACAGGAUAUUUGUGUAUAUUUGUGCUAAUUAUUAAUACUAUGCUACUUUAGUAAACACCCAUAUCUAAAAGUAAAUUAAAUCUGGCUGAGUAAUUAUUAACUGAUAAUCAAUGGGAAAAGCAUAGUCAUUUGGAUACAAUAAUGAUAGAGCUAGAAAAUUAUUCCUCAGCUCCAAAGAGUAACCUAGAAUAAAGAAGAAUCAUUUCUACCCUCUAUAUAUCCAGCCUACCCAAGUGAGGGAGGGUUGAAAGACUCAUAUGAGAGACAUUUUAAAGAGUCAGUUUCACUUAUCAGUUCCAUAUUCUUUUCUGUUUCCAUUUCUCUAGUUCUAUAAUUUUUAAAUUUUCUCCUCUUAUGCUUAUUUUAGGUUUCUUUAUUUGUUGGUUUUCUAAUGAAAAGAUAGGUAUUGAUUUUUAUAAAUCUUUCUUUUUCUAUUUUGUGAAUAUAAGUUUUUAGAAAUAUAAUUUUUUCUCUGAGGACUCCAUUAAUCAUUUCUCAGAAAUUUUAAUAAUUGUCUUGUUACUCUCAUUGUUUUUCAUUUAGUUACUAAUUGUUUCUAUAAUUGGUUCAUUGACCCACUUAAGACGAUUUAAGGGCUUUAUUGUUAAGAUUCAUUUAUGUCUGUGUCUUUUGAUCGUAUCCCCUAUAGUAUUACUAUUUUAUAACAUUAUGGCCAAUAAAGAAUAUAUUUAGUAUUUCUUGUUUUUUGAGUUAUCUUUAGUUUUUCUUUGUUCUGAUAAAUGGUUUAUGUUUAACUUAUCAUGCUGAGAAAAAAAGUAUAUUUCUUAGUGGUCCCAUUCUAAAGGUAUCAAUCCUUCUAAAUCUAAAUUUUUCAAUAAUUUGUCCAAUUGUUGUUGUUUUAUGUUUUUGUUUAUCUGUCUGUUAGAUUUUUUUGUAUCAUUGAAAAGAAAACUGAAAUCUUCCAAUGUUAUUGGGCUUUUGUUCAUGGACUUUUGGAAUUCAAGAAAUAUGUACAUUUUUUUACAUAUUUCCUUAUGAAUCAUAUUGGGAGAGAAAAAUCAGAACAAAAAAAAAAUCAGAAAAACCACAAGAGAAAAAGAAAACAGAAGAAAAAGAAAAAAAAUGAACAUUUGCACGAACUAUUUUGGUAUAACCCUAUUCUUAUAGCCUAUCUUCCUCUUUCACCCUCUAUUCCCAUUUGUCAACAUUCCUUAGUUUAGAGAAUUUCUUUAAAUGAAUGAUUUCUUUUUUCUUCAUUUCUUUAUCUAUUUCUUCUUCUUUUUUUCUCUUUCUUUUUUCCCUCUCAGUUAAAUACUUAGUUGAAAAUCGCCUUGUCCAUUUCUAUAUCUUUAUCUAGGGAAAAAUUGUUUGCUUUGUUUUACUUGAUAAUUUUUCCAUUCUCAUAAAUUUUGAACUUUAAUUCUCUGAUUCAUGUUUCCAUAUACAUGUUUAUUCCUUCAUCAAUUACUUUGUGUUCCACAUGGAGUUUUUGAUAUGCCAAGAUUAAACUUUUCCCCUAAUCUAUUUCUAUGUUAUUUCCUAUAUAGAUUUUGUCUUAAUCUGUUGUGCUUUGCUCUUAGAGGUAUAUCAUGUCAUGAGGCAUUCAAUGCGCAUAAAAGCCAAGCCUCAUGGUAGAAAUUAGUGUCCCAAAUAGUUUGGUAUGAUUCUAUCCUCUGCCUUCCCCAUGAUCAAAUUUCAUUUCAUCUUUAAGUCCAAGUCAUUUUUCCCUUUCCAAACAUCUUUCUAGCUUCUAGCUAUGAAUUUGGUGCAUUCUUUAUGAAAAAUAUUUUGUAAUUAUGCAAAUAAAUUAUCUAUACACUGUUAGCCAGAGAUUUCAUUAUUUGGCAUAUACCCCAAAGAUGUCAAUGAUAAAAUAAAAGGUUCCAUAUUCAUCAACUUAGUUGUAGCAUCAAUUUUCUUGGGAGCAAAGAAGCAAAAUGGAAGCCCAUGGAUUUGUAAAUAUCUAAACAAAAUACAGUCAUAUUAACAUGAUGGAAUAUUAUUGUGUUGUAAUAAAUACUGAAUAUGAUUAAUACAUAGAGACAUAGGAAGACUUACAUGAAUAAAUGCAAAGUGAAGUAAAAAGAAGGAAAACAAUUUAUAACAAUGAAAAUAAUAAUAGCAAAAUAACAGAAACCAUGUGCAGAAAAAUUAUAAUGACUUAGAUUGGCCCCAAAGAAGACAUACAUAACUGUGAAAGUGAAAUGCUGCAUAUUACAUCAAACUUUUUUUUGAAAUAUUGUUUAAUUCUGUGGAUUUUUUUUCAUUCUUUUUUUUCCUGUUCUCUAUUAUAAGGACUAAUUCACUGAAAGGGAUGGGGAAGAGAUUCAUUGAGAAAGGUAGGUGAUGUAAAAGCAAAAGAUAUCAACAACAAUUUAUAUUUUUAAUCAUAAAAGCUUCUUUUUCCCACAUAGGAAUUCCUGUAGGAGUUGAUGUUUGAGUGAUUUUUUUUUUUAGAAAGCUCAUAAAAUGGUGUGCUUUCACAGACCUCUCUUAUAAUUAUGUAAAGUGCCCUAUGCUACUAGUAUGCUAAUAAUGCUCUUUAAAUUAAUGGGAUACACAGAUAAUAUUUAUGAGUACCAAUACCCCGCUAGUGAUGUGGGUCAGAAUAUAGAGAGAAGAGUUAUUUCAAUAGAAAGGAAUGUUCUGGACUCAGAAACAAACCUCUCAAUUUAAAAUUCUCUUUCUCCCCCAACAUAGCAAAGUAAUUUAUUUCUCUGAGAAAAACAGUGGGAAAGGACUUUGAGUGUACUUAUGUCCUAUUACACAAAAUAACUACUUUAAAUAUCCCUACUGCAAUUUGGACAUCUAUAUUCAAAAAAGUAUAUUUGAGACUCAAAUUUAAUCUUCCUUUAGUUUCCUGUGCCUUGAGUCUUUGCAGAUGAAAAACAUUUCUCCUUUAUCUGCCUUUAUAUAGAAAGGAAGGAAGGAAGGAAUGAAUGAAGGAAUGAAGGAAGGAAGGAAGGAAGGAAGGAAGGAAGGAAGAAGAAAGAAAAAAAGGAAGGAAGCAAGGAAGAAAGAAAGAGAGG
rnacentral:lncRNA from 1 species